rnacentral:rRNA from 1 species
UGGGGAAUUUUGGACAAUGGGCGAAAGCCUGAUCCAGCAAUGCCGCGUGUGUGAAGAAGGCCUUCGGGUUGUAAAGCACUUUUGUCCGGAAAGAAAUCCUUGGCUCUAAUACAGUCGGGGGAUGACGGUACCGGAAGAAUAAGCACCGGCUAACUACGUGCCAGCAGCCGCGGUAAUACGUAGGGUGCAAGCGUUAAUCGGAAUUACUGGGCGUAAAGCGUGCGCAGGCGGUUUGCUAAGACCGAUGUGAAAUCCCCGGGCUCAACCUGGGAACUGCAUUGGUGACUGGCAGGCUAGAGUAUGGCAGAGGGGGGUAGAAUUCCACGUGUAGCAGUGAAAUGCGUAGAGAUGUGGAGGAAUACCGAUGGCGAAGGCAGCCCCCUGGGCCAAUACUGACGCUCAUGCACGAAAGCGUGGGGAGCAAACGGGAUUAGAUACCCUGGUAGUCCACGCCCUAAACGAUGUCAACUAGUUGUUGGGGAUUCAUUUUCCUUAGUAACGUAGCUAACGCGUGAAGUUGACCGCCUGGGGAGUACGGUCGCAAG